rnacentral:rRNA from 1 species
UACGUAGGGGGCGAGCGUUGUCCGGAUUUAUUGGGCGUAAAGAGCUCGUAGGCGGUCUGUCGCGUCGGAUGUGAAAAUCCAGGGCUUAACCCUGGGCCUGCAUUCGAUACGGGCAGACUAGAGUUCGGUAGGGGAGACUGGAAUUCCUGGUGUAGCGGUGAAAUGCGCAGAUAUCAGGAGGAACACCGGUGGCGAAGGCGGGUCUCUAGGCCGACACUGACGCUGAGGAGCGAAAGCGUGGGGAGCGAACAGG